GCACUGGCUUCAGUAGCACAUACACUAAAAUUGGAGCCAUACAGAGAAGACGACCCUGGCCCCUGUGAAGGAUGACAUGCAAAUUCAGGAAGCAUUCCAUACUUAA
ensembl:snRNA U6 U6 spliceosomal RNA